UACGUAGGGGGCAAGCGUUGUCCGGAUUUAUUGGGCGUAAAGAGCGUGUAGGCGGCCAGACAGGUCCGUUGUGAAAACUCGAGGCUCAACCUCGAGACGCCGAUGGAAACCGUCUGGCUAGAGUCCGGAAGAGGAGAGUGGAAUUCCCGGUGUAGCGGUGAAAUGCGCAGAUAUCGGGAAGAACACCCGUGGCUAAGGCGGCUUCCUGGACUAAUACUGACGCUGAGGUGCGAAAGCGUGGGGAGCGAACAGG
rnacentral:rRNA from 1 species